rnacentral:lncRNA from 1 species
UUGAUUUGGAUAACUGUUUUAGGAUAAAUGUUGUAACCAUUGAUUUUGAAUUGUGACAUGGCUUCUCUGGCAAUCAGCAGUGGUGCAGGAGGGUGCAAUCUCAGAGUUUCUUUUAUAACCAUCUUGAGGUAUUGAAGCUGAUCGAGAUCGCUUUCUGUUACUCUUCCUUUCUUUCCCACAAUGCUUCGAACUUCAUCUUGUGCUUUCUUCAUCAGUCUUGGUUUUCUACAUAGCUCUGCCAUUGCCCAGUUCACAGUAAGUGCGCUAGUGUCCACUCCGCCUAAAAACAUGUUCUGCAAAGUAGGCAUCAGUCAGAGCCAAGCGGAACAAAGCCUAACAAUAAAAUUGGCACCGGAAAAUAAAAAAGUUUCAAUCAAUUUGUUACGAAAUUAAUUAUAAGAAAUAGUGAAUAUUUCGACUUCUCUAUUUUUGGGUGAUGAUGAAUGCUAUCAAAUUGUGUAUAGAUCUAAACUGAAAUUUAAUGCAGUUGAUUUUUUGAGUCACUUUAGAUAUGAUAUCCAACAAUUUUAGAAUUAGAAUCCCACCAAUUGUAAUUUCUUCUCUAUCCUAGACUAUGACUUCUUUUCUUAAAAAAAAUUGUGUAUAGAUCUACCUAGAUCUCAACUUCAAAACUAACCAAUACUAAUAGUUUUAAAGAUUUGUAACUAAAUUAUCGUUUUUAAAUGAAUGAAUUAGCUUGGAUUUUAAAAGUCAUUGACAAAAGAUGUUCAAUUUAAUUUGGUUUAGAUAUUGUUUAAAAUUACACAUAUAAUGUAUCAAAUGAUAUGUCUAAGUAACGUUGCAUAGAUCCCAAAUGGUGUUAUUUGACAAUACUUACCAAGAGAACUGCCUUGAUAUGAUUUUUGGUGAGCCAAGCAUGACCAUCUUCAAUUUGCUCCUUUUCUAUUCCAAGCAUCACGUCAAUAAUGUCAUCCUGCGAUUUUAUCCUCCCAGGUUUAAGGUGAUCAUCAAUUACCUGUUGAAAGAACGUAUCCAACUCAUGGAAAAUUCUCUCAACUCUUUUAUUAUGACCAUUUAUCCUGUCCAAAAUCC